GAGGGAGCUUGUGUUUUCUGCAGUGGCUGAAACAGGUUUUUUUCCUCUUUGCCCUGCUGAAGGCUAUUUUUUGGGGGUCUACAGGGUCACGGCUGUCCUUAGUGAUGUCUCCUUCAGCCGUAAUCAGCACCACGGACAGCAACACCAAUCUCCACCAUCGUAGGCUCCACGACAGGCAUCUAUCUCAAUACACUUUAAAGUGGCUACCCGUGCUUGGCUUCUUUUCUUUCCCAUUGUUGCUGAUCUAAAAAAAUUGAAUUGGUGGAAGCGAGCUGCCCAUUAGGCUUUGUGUGCUCCUUGAUCUUUACCACAAAUUGCAAAGGAACUAAUAAAAGGAAGUGGAGAAAGUAACUAUGAAGGAUCUGCAGUCAACUCCUAGUGGGGGUAAACCAUAACACAGGGGACAGGCUGAUAGUAAUAAUAAAAACUCUUGUUCAGGACUUUUUUCACCUGUGGUGGCUUUUAAAAAUAGCAGCUAUAAUUGGAAGCAAAUAAGAGAUAAAAUAGAGGAGUAGGAGAGGGAGAGAUAGGAGGAGUUUACUACUGUAAGGAGUGAGAGGCUGAGAGAGUGUGAGGGAGGGAUGGGGAGAGUGAAACAGACACACAUACACACACACACACACACAUAGAGGGUGCAGAUAGCGGGAGGGGAAAACCUCCUCUCUGAAAGGGAUGAUGUCAGUCUCUGCAGCUGAGCCCCAGUUCGACUCGUCAGGAUGAAGACUCUCUCCUCCUGAAACACACCGGCAGACUGAUCCACAAACGGGAGAGGAGAGCAAACUUAGGUGGAGAAGCCUGGUGACCGAAACCCCACAGAUCUUGCUGUAAUUUGGAGGAAGAUGGGAAAACACUGCUCCUGAUUGGAUCCUCGGCGCGCUUCUGCUUGUAAGCCACCGUGUAAUAUGGCUUUUUAUUCCUAUGUGAUGAUGACAAACGUUCACGUAGGAAUUGAAGCCAUUUUAAACGUGGUUUGAGAGCAACGAGACCAAAGCGAGAGCUGCUGGCCGCCUUCUCGACGGAGACAUAUGGUGGAUGAAUGUAUCUGUCUUCUGUUCAGUGCUUCCCUGUAGUAAAAGUACAUUUAUGCUCAUCUUUCAGAUGAUGAGUGAACUCACUGAUGUGCUCAUCUGAGAGAACGAGAGAAUAAAAAGAGUCAGACUUUG